rnacentral:misc_RNA from 1 species
ACGAGUUAGGGUCUUCUAGGCCCAAUCUCCAACCCUCUGUCAAAUCACUAUGUUGCUUUGGCGAGCCUGUCUAUUUCAGUAGACCGCCAGAUUUUGGUGCGAGUGCUCGCCAAUAGCCUUCUCAAAUUCUAUAUAAUAUUGUCGUCUGAUAUGUAAUAUUUAAUUAUAUA